rnacentral:rRNA from 1 species
GAUGAACGCUAGCGGCAGGCCUAACACAUGCAAGUCGAGGGAGAAGCCCUUCGGGGCAGAAACCGGCGCACGGGUGCGUAACGCGUAUGCAACCUACCUUUCACAGGGGGAUAGCCCGAAGAAAUUUGGAUUAAUACCCCAUAAUAUUGUUGGAUGGCAUCAUCUGAUAAUUAAAACUGCGGUGGUGAAAGAUGGGCAUGCGUCCUAUUAGCUAGUUGGAGUGGUAACGGCACCCCAAGGCUACGAUAGGUAGGGGUCCUGAGAGGGAGAUCCCCCACACUGGUACUGAGACAGGGACCAGACUCCUACGGGAGGCAGCAGUGAGGAAUAUUGGUCAAUGGUCGGAAGACUGAACCAGCCAUGCCGCGUGCAGGAAGAAUGCCUUAUGGGUUGUAAACUGCUUUUAUAUGGGAAGAAUAAAGGUGUACGUGUACA